CCUACCAACAUCAUCUCCUGCAGCACCUGGCUUUCUCUUGAGGCCUCCCAUCCAACGCCUGACCCCACUCAACUUGUGAAUGCUGACAAGUUCACACUCAGAGGUUACAGAGUUGGCUGCAGUUCCAGACUAACCCACUCUGAUGGGACACUCCACUAUCCACCCAGCAGGUAUCACCACGCCAAACAAGGAAUCUCACUGGAAUAUGGGAGUCUCAUACAGGGGCAGGCUCCCGGAUGCAAAGAAGGCACAUCCUUGAGGGAAGAAUGCAUUGCUGUUCUCAGGUUUGCCUAACUUUCUGAGCUCCAAUUGAGGGCUGAGUCAGCCCUGGGGGCAAACUGCCAUAUCAUUGUCAGACACAAAUAUUCCCAGCUGAA